GGGUAUGUACACGCUUGUAUCGGGAGAGCGCUUGAAUGGCAUUCAAGAGGUCAGCUGUUCGAUCCCGCUUAUCUCCACAA
rnacentral:tRNA from 1 species